UACGUAGGGACCGAGCGUUGUCCGGAAUCAUUGGGCGUAAAGAGCGUGUAGGCGGCCACUUAAGUCCUGCGUGAAAUCUUGCGGCUCAACCGCAAGCGGUCGUGGGAAACUGGGUGGCUAGAGUGCGGGAGAGGAGAGUGGAAUUCCUGGUGUAGCGGUGGAAUGCGCAGAUAUCCGGAAGAACACCGGUGGCGAAGGCGGUCUGCUGGGCCAAGACUGACGCUGAGGCGCGACAGCGUGGGGAGCAAACAGG
rnacentral:rRNA from 1 species